UGGGGAAUAUUGCGCAAUGGGCGAAAGCCUGACGCAGCGACGCCGCGUGAGGGAUGACGGCCUUCGGGUUGUAAACCUCUUUCAGCAGGGACGAAGCGCAAGUGACGGUACCUGCAGAAGAAGCACCGGCCAACUACGUGCCAGCAGCCGCGGUAAUACGUAGGGUGCAAGCGUUGUCCGGAAUUAUUGGGCGUAAAGAGCUCGUAGGCGGCUUGUCACGUCGACUGUGAAAACCCGGGGCUCAACUCCGGGCCUGCAGUCGAUACGGGCUGGCUUGAGUGCGGUAGGGGAGACUGGAAUUCCUGGUGUAGCGGUGAAAUGCGCAGAUAUCAGGAGGAACACCGGUGGCGAAGGCGGGUCUCUGGGCCGUAACUGACGCUGAGGAGCGAAAGCGUGGGGAGCGAACAGG
rnacentral:rRNA from 1 species